CCUACGGGGCGCAGCAGUGAGGAAUAUUGGUCAAUGGGAGGAAUCCUGAACCAGCCAUGCCGCGUGCAGGACGACGGCUCUACGAGUUGUAAACUGCUUUUGUACCGGGGUAAAAUGCCUUACGAGUAGGGUUUUGAAAGUACGGUACGAAUAAGGAUCGGCUAACUCCGUGCCAGCAGCCGCGGGAAUACGGAGGAUCCGAGCGUUAUCCGGAUUUAUUGGGUUUAAAGGGUGCGUAGGUUGUUUUAUAAGUUAGCGGUGAAAUACCGAUGCUCAACAUCGGGGCUGCCGCUAAUACUGUAGGACUAGAGAUCGGAUGCAGCAGGCGGAAUGUGUAGUGUAGCGGUGAAAUGCAUAGAUAUUACACAGAACACCGAUUGCGAAGGCAGCUUGCUAGGCCGGAUCUGACACUGAUGCACGAAAGCGUGGGGAUCGAACAGGAUUAGAUACCCGUGUAGUC
rnacentral:rRNA from 1 species